rnacentral:rRNA from 1 species
GACGAACGCUGGCGGCGUGCUUAACACAUGCCAGUCGAACGGAAAGGCCCUGCUUUUGUGGGGUGCUCGAGUGGCGAACGGGUGAGUGACACGUGAGUAACCUGCCCUUGACUUUGGGAUAACUUCAGGAAACUGGGGCUAAUACCGGAUAGGAGCUCCUGCUGCAUGGUGGGGGUUGGAAAGUUUCGGCGGUUGGGGAUGGACUCGCGGCUUAUCAGCUUGUUGGUGGGGUAGCGGCUUACCAAGGCUUUGACGGGUAGCCGGCCUGAGAGGGUGACCGGCCACAUUGGGACUGAGAUACGGCCCAGACUCCUACGGGAGGCAGCAGUGGGGAAUAUUGCACAAUGGGCGGAAGCCUGAUGCAGCAACGCCGCGUGCGGGAUGACGGCCUUCGGGUUGUAAACCGCUUUCGCCUGUGACGAAGCGUGAGUGACGGUAAUGGGUAAAGAAGCACCGGCUAACUACGUG